CGAAGGCGACGGGGAGGAGGAGGGCCUGGAAGCCGAUGCCGGCAUUGAGGUUGUGGAAAGCGGCGUAGUGGGCGUUGCCGUUGCGGGACUCGGUGAUGGGGAGCCAGGCGUCCUGGGGGUUGAGCUUCGUCAGGUGGCCCACCUCCUCAAGGUAGCCGCGCAGGUUCACCAGCACGCGCUUCAUGGGCGUCCCCACCGUCGAAGAUAUCGACGGGCUCAGAAACCGCGGCGACACCAUCGCCGGCGUCGGAGUCCACGACUUAACCGAGUUGGCCCCGGCUGC
rnacentral:lncRNA from 1 species